AGUCAGUUAUGAUGAAUGGAGGAAGAAGCCCUUGUAGAAUGCAGUCAUGGAAACCUAUCUUGGAAACUAUUGCAGAGAAAUCACUCAACAGGAGAACUGAAUCAGAUUUGCAAGACAUUGUUAUCAAUGUUAUCUCAUCCAAUAAAACUUGUUUUCUAGUAGAAUAGUAUUAAUAAUAAGACCCUACAAGGGAUUGAUUAGAUGAACUGUUGGAUGCAAGUGCUGCACUUUCCACACAGUUAGGUGUUUCAUGUUUCAGUAUCAACAAAACCUCCUGAUUUUAAUUCAAGCAUAAUUGUUCGCAAGUUAUCCAUUCAAUUACUAAAGCGUAUAAAACUAGAUAAUCAUUCAUUUCAAUAUUUGUUAAAAUAACUAUCAGAAUAAAGAAAAAUGAAAUGAAAAGAAAAUGAAUACGAUCGAUCGAUAUUUAUUAACGUAGUUCGGUCAAUAAUACAUAUUUUUGCGACUAAAUAAGUUUGGUCAAUAGUGUAUACUUCUGCAACUAUAUAGUAAUUAUAAUUUUUUUC
rnacentral:lncRNA from 1 species